UAGGAAUUGCAUCAUCGCAAUCACAAACCAUGAUUUUGAGUCCACACCAGCUUCCGAAAUCUGACAAAGGAGAUAAUUUAUGGGAAGCAUCCAUGGGUAACCGACGACGAGGAAUUACAAGAUGUGAAGGAUUUCCACCAAUUUGAAUUAAACUAAUUGGAAUGGGUUCCUGACUUAUGAAAAAAUUGCCAUUUUUUGCCUGUUUCCAAAUAUGUGCAAGGAAUAUAGAGGGAUUGAAAGCUGAGAAAGAGACAAAAAUUCCUUUCCAAUGUUACAUAUUAUAUAUAUGUAUGACAGUGAGGCUAUCAAUAGUGCAAUAGUGAUAAACAUGUGAAGUGUUUGCUAAUAAAACAUGAUAAAUUUUC